AUGCGGGCUUGUUCGGAACGAAGACACGGAUGGGUACACUUGGCUGUUCAAAACCUUCUUGGGUGCAUGAGUGGACUUGCUCCGAUGAACAUAAUAACAGGCCAGAAUUUUGGCAUGCGUGCAGGCAUAGAGGAGGCCUUUCUGUUGGUAGUGCACAUGCACUGCAGGUGGCACAUUAUAAAGAAGGCUGAGGAGACGCUAGGACCGUUCUUUGUUGACCGUCUAGAGCUGCACAAGGCAUUCGAGCUGUGUGUGGACCACAGCUUGACAGUGCAGGAGUUUGAAAGGAGCUGGAUGGCUAUGAUUGAAACAUAUCAAGUCCAAGACAACGAGACGCUUGCUAGCCUGUGGGAGAAGCGAAUGUACUGGGUGCCGACCUACUUCAUGCAGUCCUUCUUCCCGUUUUUGCAGACUACGCAGCGCAGCAAGGGGUUCAAUGCUGUUUUGAAGCGGUACGUGAUCCCUGGCAACUCAUUGCUACAGUUUGCCAAGCAAUACACCGCUUUGCAACAAAAAAUACUGAGAUCUGAGCUACAGCAAGAAGCAAACACCAAGCUAAAGCAGCCAAAAUUGCUAACAUAUUUACCGAUGGAGAGGCAGAUGAGCAAGAUAUACACCAACAAGAUCUUUAACAAAUUCCAGGAAGAAAUAAAGCGUGCCAGCAUGUAUACGGCUUUCCAGAUGGACGAACAUACGUUCAAGGUGUGUUCUAUCUUGGGCAUGUUGAAUUCGGAACCUGAAGACCCGGACAAGGGAAGAAACUACUUUGUGAAGGCCUCGAUAAGCGAAGGCAAAUACUACUGCCAAUGCCGCAAAUUCGAACGGGACAGGAUUGUGUGCUGUCACAUACUAAAAGUAAUGGACAUGAACGCGGUGACACGAAUGCCCCGCCAUUUCAUAAGACGGCGAUGGACUUGGGACGCUGGCGAUGCAUUGGCACCGCAAACAUCAAACGCAGUUUUGGCUGUGCAUGACGAGAGACCAGAGUCAACCAUGGAAGCGGUGAGGCAUAUUGUGUUGACAAAGAACUAUGCUGAACUAAUUGAUGAAGCGCGCAAGAGUGAUGAGACAGCGAGGGUCGCAGAAAAACAUAGGAAGGCCCUGAAAAGAGAGCUUGAUGAGAUCAAGAAGAGGAAAGUUGAGGAAGUCUUACACAAGUUCCCCCGCACAUCAAGUGUGCCUUCGUCCACGGGGCCAUCAUUUGAAAACUCGGGGGUAGGAUCUGGAACAGCAAGCACACAAACCCAGGCCAGGAACCCGCCCCGUUCCAUCACAAAGGGGCGUCCAAAAGAGAUAAGAUACAAAUCUGGAUUGGAGAUUCAAGCAAAACACAAGAAAACAAAGAAAGGGACGGGCAAUCCAUAA
rnacentral:rRNA from 1 species